UUGGAUCCGAGGAGGACGCGAGGGCGGAGGAAGGUUGCGGGAGGUGGCGGGAGGGGAGGGAAGACUUGAAUGUGGUCAGGGGAGGAAGUGCGGGAGCCGAGUGCCCUUCUGGCCAGCUCCGAAGCCCGUGCCCUUUGGCCCUGGCUGCCCCUAGCUGGGCUUCCAGCGGGCCCAGGGGAAUAAGAACAGACGCGGCAUGCAGGAGAUUUCAGAAGAACCGGGGACACAGCAGCGGGCACAGGCAAAGACACAGUCACCAGCUUACUACUCGGCACAGCAGUUUCUAGUCGGAGAACAUCACAUGGAAGGAAGAGGAGUCGUUGCCGCGUGGGGAUGAACCCGAAGCACACUGCACAGUGGAGGAAGGAGGAGGAAGCAUGUCCCGUGACGCGUCAGUGGGCUGUGCGCACGCACUGGUUUUACACCUUUUGAACGACUCACGUAUUUACUUUUAUUUUGCCCUCAACGUAUUUUCUGUGAUAUAACUUUAUUUGUAGUGAAGUUUGGAUGCAAGAUCACCGUGAACCCCCUAAAUGCUGAGAAAUCGUUGAAUGGUGCGGAAAGAAGGCUGUGCCUUCCGAAGAACCCCUUCUGCGCCAGCACCCCCACUAUCAAGUCUUUCUUCCUCCUUCCUUCCUCUUUCGCAGCAAGGUUUUCAGGAGAGAGCUGACAUCUUUAAGGGAAGGAUAGGUGUAUUUUUUGGAUUAGCGAUGCUCUCUGCAGCGUACAAAUGAAGUCGCAUUGCCUCAUGGAGCUCAUGGCUACUAUCUUGGGAACCAACUGAAGCAGCUGGAGAAUUGAAGUCGUUGGCAUUCAUUCGAACGUCUCCAUUCCUUGCUGAAGACAGAAAGACAUCGUUCUCAACGUGUUGAGUUUGUGAUCCUAGGGACCAAGGUUUGGCGUUUUCCCACUAAGAUGAAAUGACUACAGACCCAUUGACUAAGGACCAUGAAGGCUCAAGUAAACAUAAGGAAAAGGGUGUGUAUCACUAAGGUUUAGGUUUAACUAAAAGGCAGACCUCCAUGGUAACACUGCUGACUUAAGACAGUGGUAUAUUUCUCUGUCUUGUGUAAAGGUCUGGAAGGUAAGUAAUUCAGGGAUGUUGUAGGAUCUCUAUUCCUCUAAGUCUCCAGGGACUCAAACUCCUUCUGGUUUACUGCUUUACCAUCCCACUGGUGUGGUCCUUAUCCUCAUAGUCCAAGAAGGCAGCUAGAGCUCCAGCUCUCUCACCACGUUACAAGCAAAAGGAUAGAAAUAGUGACAGAGACAAAGGGAAGUAUGAUGGUUGAGAUUAUGUGUCGACUUGACUGGCCGUGGGCUGCCCAGAUUAAACAUUAUUUCUAGGUGUGUCUGUAAGGGUGUUUCUGAAUGAGAUUGGCAUUUGAAUCUGUGAACUCAGUAAAGUAAAUUGCCCUCCCUAAAGUGGGUGGGCAUCAUCCAUUCUGCUGAGGGCCUGAAUAGAACAAAAGAUGGAGGAAGGAGGAGUUCGCUGGGACAUCUCCUCUCGUCUUCUGCCUCAGGCUAGGACUGACACUACUGGCUCCCCUGGUCCUCAGGCCUUUGGACUCAGACUGAAUUAUAUCACUGGCUUUCCUGCAUCUCAAGGGUCUGCAGACAGCAGAUUGUGGGGCUUCCUUGCCUCCAUAAUCGUGGGAGCCAAUUCCUCAUAAUAAAUGUCCUUUGAUAUCUGUGUA